rnacentral:tRNA from 1 species
GGGCUGCGCGAAUGGGAGUUGAUUCGUUGUCGGACUCAUAAUCCGUUGGUCGCUGGUUCAAGCCCAGCACGGCCUACCA